rnacentral:lncRNA from 1 species
UUGGAGCGAGUAUGAAGGUGGGAGAUGAAGGUAUUUAUAGAUAAAAAUAAGAGUUUUUUUUUGAAUUUGAAUUUGAAAAUUUAAAAAAUAAAAAAGAAAAAAAAAAACUAUUUGCUUACAGUUGCUAAUACAAGGCCUAGACCUUCUUCUUGGCGAUUCUGGUUUCAGAUGGGCUCGUGGUCAAUGAUUUCGAGCCCGAACCGUUGACCGCCGGUCCAGUUUCGAGCCGAACCGCCGAUUCCGAUUAGGUUGAACAUCUCUGGAUGAUAUAUGCACAUUUAUAUACACUAGCAUUUGCAUCUUGUGCAAUCAAGAAACGCCUUUAUAUUUUUAUAUUUAUAUAAAAUUAAUAACAACUCAAUUAUUAUAUUUAUAAAUAUAAUAAAAA